UGUUUUGGUGAUUGUGUGUGUUUGAUAUAGUCAUGGGAAAUCAGAAUUUAGCCAACUUGAUAUUCUUUUGCAAUACUAUUUGGCCCCAAUCUUGUUUGGAAUCUGGACUUUGCUGCUGAAUGGAAAAGUGGGAUGGAGUUGCAUGGAUCCAGGCUUUUGUGCUGCUGUUCUAAGCAGAGUUGGGCCUGGUUAAUAUGUGAUGUUUUCCUUCGGUGCUGUUUAGCCCCAGUGUUCUUUGGAGUCCGGGGAAGUUUGGCCUUUAAAAAUCAAACUGCCAUGGACACUGCUUUACCCAAAAUUUUGGUUCACAUUCUUCACUGGAUUAACUAUUGGGGCAAACAACGUAUAACCAUGUAAAACCAGUACGCUUGUAUUGGCAUUUCAUGGCUAGAGUUCUAAGUCACAAGCACCUCUUCGGCAAAGCCCACCUCCCUCUCUCGCUUGAUUCCCCGGCCAUCCUUAUCAAAGACCUUCCAGGUGAACAGGCAGCCAUCCUCAGCAGCAGUCAGCAGGAACUGAUCAUCAAAGAAACUUGCAAAAAUAGCACAGAGAGAGUGGACUUCUGGAAUGGCACGGAAUGAACAUGUGGAUUGUCUUCAACCGUCCAUUGCUACAAACACUAUGGCAACAAAAUUCCCUACGGCAGCACCCAAAGGCUUGAAAUUAGCCAUUCCAAGUGUGUCCAAAAAACUAAAGGAAACCAUGAUUAAACAAGUAAAGGUAGAAAUGAUAUGCAUCAAAUAGAGAAGAAUAAAAGGAUCCCAUCAAUAUAGGGAUAGAACUGUAAGAAAAUAGAAAUUCUAGAGUUAAAAACUACAAUAACUGAAAUGAAAAAUCCACUAGAGGUGCUCAAGAAUAGAUCUGAACUGGCAGAAGAAUUAGUGAACUUUAUAGAUCAAAAAAGAUUAGCAAUUUGAAGAACAGAGAGGAAAAAGAAUUAGAAAUUUACAGAGCCUCAGAAAAAUGUGGGACACCAUUAAGCACACCAACUAAUGCAUAAGGUGAAUGCUAGAAGGAGAGGAGAAAGAGAAAGGAACAGAAAAAACAUUUUCAUAAAUAAUUGCUGAAAAUAUUAUAAAUUUAUUGGGAAACACCAGUGUACACAUAUAGGAAGCUCAAUGAACUCCAAGUAGGAAAAACACAAAGAGUUCCACAAACAGACACAUUUUGGCAAAAAUAAUGAAAGCUAAAGAUGAGAAGAAAAUUUUGAAAGCAUCAAUAGAAAAAUGACUGAUCACUUACAAAAGAGUCCCAAUAAGAUUAAUAGCAGAUAUCUCAGCAACAACAACGGAAGCCAGAAGAGAAUGGGAUAACAUGUUCAAAGUGCUUAAAGAAAAAGCUGUCAAACAAAAAUCCUGCAAAGCUAUCUUUUAGAACUAAAGGUGAAAAAAAAUUACCAAAAAAACUGAAAAAAUAUGUUGCUAGCAGAUAUGACUUACAGAAAAUACUAAAGGAAAUCCUUUAGGUUGAAAGCAAGUUACUCCAGAUAGUAAUUCAAAUCCACACAAAACAAAGAGCACUGGUAAAGCCAGUAGACAAGAUUUGACUCUGGAGGUGACGUCUGAGCCAAUAGGUAUUUGGAGUCUGGAGAAAAAGCCAUGCUAAUAAAUUUC
rnacentral:lncRNA from 1 species